CUCAGGUAAUUAGGUCUCUUUAAUGUCAGGUUUCCCCAGGUAGCCACGGUUCCCCUUCCCCAAUUUUCCCCAGGUAGAUACAGUUCCCCUUCCUCAAUUUUCCCCAGGUAAAUACAGUUCCCCUUCCCCAAUUUUCCCCAGGUAGAUACAGUUCCCCUUCCCCAAUUUUCCCCAGGUAGAUACAGUUCCCCUUCCCCAAUUUUCCCCAGGUAGAUACAGUUCCCCUUCCCCAAUUUUCCCCAGGUAGAUACAGUUCCCCUUCCCCAAUUUUCCCCAGGUAGAUACAGUUCCCCUUCCCCAAUUUUCCCCAGGUAGAUACAGUUCCCCUUCCCCAAUUUUCCCCAGGUAGAUACAGUUCCCCUUCCCCAAUUUUCCCCAGGUAGAUACAGUUCCCCUUCCCCAAUUUUCCCCAGGUAGAUACAGUUCCCCUUCCCCAAUUUUCCCCAGGUAGAUACAGUUCCCCUUCCCCAAUUUUCC